AGGUGUUUAACUUAAACCAGCCGACAAAAGUAAAACAUUUUUUUGCAAGUAGAAGUCUGGCUGCGGACAGUAGUUACACAUUUGGCUUACCAAAUACAUACUAAUUAUUACUUAUUAUCUGAUUUUCUGUGCGGUAUAACGGUGUUAGCAUCAUGUUACCAGCAAAAAUCGGGAGUCCUAUCAAGACGGAUUUCAUCUCAUCACUUGAUAUAUGUUGGUGGGGAGAACAUGGCAGAUUCGUGGUGGACUUCAUCACCAACGACAAUACACUGGCCCGAGGUUACGUUUGUGAUGUGAACAAACAAGGACUUCUGAUAACAUCUCGACUAUGGGAUACAACGUCGCAGCUGGCCCCGUUUAACCGCAUCAUAGCACAGCCGACAGAACUACGAGAAUUCCGCCGUGGGAUGAUCAAAGACCUCUGGCAUACAUGGGCUAAGCUUCCGAUAGAAGUUUUGAUGAGCGCUGGAAACGGUCGGCCGUUACAGUGUGAGUGGACCCAUGCGGAAAUUGCUGAAGAAGACCGACAGCAACAUCCCAGAAGCUUUUCUGUGGAGGCUAUUACACAUCCAGGUGAAAACACCAGAUGGCACCGAUCAGCAGUACCUGAUUAAUGACCAUUGUGCCUACCCUGCAGAUUUUCAACUCAGCCAGCGAAUACGCUACCUAAUUCGCCGAUUUCCCAACACGAAACCUAACACAUUUAUGAAGACGUCUGUUUUUCUUUCACGUGAUUGCGCCCGUACAUUACGCCAGUGCUUACUCUCUAGAACGUUCCAACGCGGUUUCCAGUGGCGGCCGGUGCCUUGAAAAGUCGCAAACCAUGAUGGUGGCAGUGCAUUAUUGCAGCAUUGACGUGCUCAGCCGUGGACCGCUCAGCAAAGCGGCCCAGCUACAAUUAACGACCUUUUUACAUGAAUAUGUUGGUGUGUGGACGUGCCCAGAAUAUUUAUACUGGACCAUCCCCGAUGUAACGUCAUUGACCAAGCGCCUCAGCAGAUAUCGUUCGGUUUGCAGCAGAUAAUGAUGGUUGUUCGACUGGCAGCUUGGCAAGUUUCUCGGAAAUGUCUUCCUCGGUGAAAGCGUCGGUAUUUUCUAACCUCGACAUUUACGAUCGGAAUAUACUGAAAAGAGUGGAUUCGAGCUGGUCAUCCAUUAGGGACUUCCUCUGAUGCAGCAAGACAUCAUAUUUGCAAAUCCAAUGGCUAGCAACUACAACGAAUAACUAUCCGAACUUCCUCAUCAAAUGCAGAUGUCGCUGACGCCGAAUACAAAAACUGUAUAUUUAACGGGGCCAUGGCAGUCACCCAUAUCAACACUAGUCCGUGUGCUUUCUUGACUGUCCAUCAGACUGCAUUACGUUGUCAUCCGUCGAAUCCAGGCAGACUACGUCUCCGAAUUCUUCGAACCGGAUCCCCCGGAACCUGGACACUUCUCCGUCGGCGACGUUUCCAAGAUAUGUCGAACACUGAUAAUCAACGACUUCCGGUUCCGCAAAAACGGUUGGUGUUGGCUCUUGAGACAGUGCACCCCGAUUAACCCGGAAUUUCGUGUUUCUGAGUUUAUUUACCGCUUUGAUUACCAACCCGUGGAGAACUUCCAAGGCGCGCUGUACGAAUGCAUAAACACCUGCUGCCCAGAAAUGGAUUCAAGGACAUACACCACGUUGUCAGAACGGUUCGCCAAAAUCCGUGUAUCCGCAAAAAAGAACAAAUCCGUAAAGAAAUGGUACUGGAAAGAGCUGCUAUUAUGCUUUACAAGGCUAAACCUCGAGCCACCGAAGUGUAUGUCCGAUCUGGAACAGUCUUUUAAGACUUCGUUUAAAGAUGUCGCAGGAAGGAACGUAUUGCUAUUAGCGCUUGCUUCCUGGGUUGCCACGAUCGAAAGCGAGUUAAAAUAUGAACCGCUUAGGCGAACACAAUAUUUUUGUGGUAUUUGUCUUUAGGUGCUUUGCGCGUUCAGUACGUUCCACCACGGAGAUUCGAACUUCCUUAUGCAGAACAGGAUGGCCGACACUGUUCCGCAUAUAUAUAAGGUGUUAUCGAAAUUCCCUAUAGAGGGAUAACAGCAACCUACAGGCUACAGUACAUUCACUGCGUUGUGUAAUUAUGCAUUAUAUUAUUAGAAAUCGUUCAGUACAGCAACUUUGCAAAUGUUUGCUCGGCGCUGGCAACCGCUGUCAAAAAGAAGGCACGAAAUGAAAGUGAGUCUUGUUUUGCAACAUGGUGCGAUGCGGAAGUGUCUUGUUGAUAAGGAAGGUUGGCAGAGAAAGAGCUGUUUCACAGCUUCGCUUAGUUUUUUUUCAAUCUUUGAGCUUCGAAAUUGUGUAAGGAGAUGUGAUGAGUGAGUGUACCACGUUAGUUUGGAUAAACUUUUUAUUUGCUUUGUUUUUGUCUAAGUAGUGCUUUUCCGUAUCCGUACAUGCAAUUUAAAUCGGUGCUGCGAGUAACGUAACUGAGCUGAUACAACGUCAGAACUCGAUCGUUACUACUUUGUGUUUUGUAGCAUUGACCUUUGUUGAAUAAAA